GGAUAAUGAAAGCCAUUCCUGCUAUGGAAAUGAGGAGCCUGAGAGUGUUCUUUGCAUUUGCAUUGAAAUGCAUUGUCCUCUCAUCUUUUCUUCGGAGCUUACCCCAUUGUUUCAGCAACAACCGAAGGUAGGAACGAGACUGAUUAUCUUGCUUUAUCAGAAUUCAAGGCAAAGAUUUUGAGGGACCUUCAAAAUGUCAUGAAGUCAUGGAAUGAUUCUGUCCAUUUUUGCAAUUGGGAAGGCGUCAUAUGUGGCAGAAGGCACAGAAGAGUUACCAUUCUUGAUCUUCAGUCCAAAGGCUUGGCAGGUUCUUUGCCUCCUCACUUAGGAAACAUGAGUUUCCUUACACAGAUUAGACUACAAACAACACCUUACAAGGUGAUAUCCCUUCAGAA
rnacentral:misc_RNA from 1 species